rnacentral:rRNA from 1 species
GACGAACCGUGCGAACGUUAUUCGGAUUCACUGGGCUUAAAGGGCGCGUAGGCGGGCUCGCCAGUCAGGGGGGAAAGCCCACGGCUCAACCGUGGAAGUGCCUUUGAUGCUGCGAGUCUCGAGGGAGGUAGGGGCGUGCGGAACUUCCGGUGGAGCGGUGAAAUGCGUAGAUAUCGGAAGGAACACCGGUGGCGAAAGCGGCGCGCUGGACCUCUUCUGACGCUGAGGCGCGAAAGCUAGGGGAGCAAACGGG